rnacentral:lncRNA from 1 species
UAUGUGGUAGAAGUUUACAUAGACUUCAGCGACAUGUUUGUGAUUAUUGAUAGUUAAAUCUUUUUUCUCCCUUCUAGGAAAUGAGAUUAAGUAAAUUACCCAGGAUUGCACAGCUAGGAAGGGACAGAGGCCAGGUUUGAACCCUCCUGAUUCCAGGAAUCUUGGGUUACCCAAAGGGCCAUGGAGAGAUACAAGGAGGGUGCUAACAAGAAUCUUGGGUUACCCAAAGGGCCAUGGAGAGAUACAAGGAGGGUGCUAACAAGUAAGUUCUAGCAAAUUGCCAAC